AACGUCUGUCGCGGAUCUCUCCCAUCCCCUGGAGCGAUCUCCCCGGAACGGCGACCCCUCCCCAGGUCCCCGUUCCCCUGGCCCCGAUGACCUCCCCCUGGUCUUCGGGGCUUUUUA
rnacentral:sRNA from 1 species